AAAUUUGCACUGUUGUUGUUGAAUGUGGUUCUUGCAGGCGAAUAAUGAUGUGAUGUUGAAGGUUGCGAUGCGUGGCGGUGGCGAUGACGAAGGUGGAUGCGAUGCGUGCCGAUGGCGAAGGUGGAUGCGAUGAACGAAAUUUGUUCGUGAAGAUUACACAGAGAACGAUGAUUCUCCGUGAGAUGAUGAAGAUGAUGAUCGAUGAUGAUGAUGAUGAUGAUCGAUGAUGAUGAUGAAGAGUUUGAAGAUUAUGAGCGUUACUCGAGAAUUCCCGGUUGAGAGGUUAUGAAGGUUCAGAGGAAGUUUGUUACCAAUUCGGUUACAAUUUUCUGUUAGAGUUUUUGUUGAAGAUUGAAGCGUGGUUGAUGAUUGGAGGAUGAUGAAUGAAUCGUUUUCUGCAGAUGAAGUUGUGAAGAGUUUCUUGUUCUUCUGCAGGUUGAAGAUUUGAACGAAGAUUGAAGGAAGAUGAGACUGAAGUUAUGGCGGUUAUGGUGAUUUUCGUUUUGUUGCAAGUUUGGAGAGGGAAGCGAACUGUUAUUCUGAAGGAGUGGUCAAGAAGAUUGGUUAUGGUUGAAUGAAUCUUGGAGAGAAAGUUUGUUUCAGGCUCGGUUUCAAGAGGUACAGGGAAUGUCAUGGAGGCUUCUUGAAAUGGGCUUAUGAAAGUCAUUGGUUUUUUUUUUGUGUAAUAUUUCUUGUAAUCGACUUGUAAUGGGCUACGCUUUUGAACAUGUGAUGAAUGGAUUUUAGUUAAAAUUGUGAUUUCUUGUAGUAUUUUUCUGUGUAAUUUUUGUGGAUGCACAUUUGAGAAUGUAUGGACCUUGGAAUAUUUUUGUAAUGAA